AGAUACCCGUGUAGUCCUGGCCGUAAACGAUGUGGACUUGGUGUUGGAAUGGCUCCGAGCUGCUCCAGUGCCGAAGGGAAGCUGUUAAGUCCACCGCCUGGGAAGUACGGUCGCAAGACUGAACUUAAAGGAAUUGGCGGGGGAGCACCACAACGCGUGGAGCCUGCGGUUUAAUUGGAUUCAACGCCGGACAUCUCACCAGGGCGACAGCAGAAUGAUGGCCAGGUUGAUGACCUUGCUUGACAAGCUG
rnacentral:rRNA from 1 species